GGCUUAGGCUUGAUCUCAGGCUUAGGCUUAGGCUUGUGCUUAGGCAUAGCCUAGGCUUAGGCU
rnacentral:sRNA from 1 species